rnacentral:rRNA from 1 species
UACAGAGGGUGCAAGCGUUAAUCGGAAUUACUGGGCGUAAAGCGUGCGUAGACGGUAGCGUAAGUCGGGUGUGAAAGCCCCGGGCUCAACCUGGGAAUGGCAUUCGAGACUGCUCUGCUAGGGUGCGGAAGAGGGCGAGGUGAAUUCCGGUGUAGCGGUGAAAUGCGCGAUAUCGGGAGGAACACCAAUGGCGAAGGCAGCUCGCUGGGACGUGACUGACGCUGAGACGCGAAAGCGUGGGGAGCAAACAGG